AGGACGAACGCUGGCGGCGUGCUUAACACAUGCAAGUCGAGCGGUAAGGCUCCUUCGGGAGUACACGAGCGGCGAACGGGUGAGUAACACGUGAGCAAUCUGCCCUUCACAUCGGAAUAACUUCGGGAAACCGAAGCUAAUACCAGAUAUGACCAUCACGGGCAUCCGCGAUGGUGGAAAGUUCCGGCGGUGAAGGAUGAGCUCGCGGCCUAUCAGCUUGUUGGUGGGGUAAUGGCCUACCAAGGCGACGACGGGUA
rnacentral:rRNA from 1 species